GGAGAGAUGGCUGAGCGGUUGAAAGCCCCGGUCUUGAAAACCGGUAUAGUUGAAAAAACUAUCGAGGGUUCGAAUCCCUCUCUCUCCU
rnacentral:tRNA from 1 species